rnacentral:misc_RNA from 1 species
AGAUGAAGAGAAGAAGGUAGGUGAGGGAUUUGUGGAAGAAACAGAGAAAAAGAAAGACAAGGAAAAAGAAGAUGAUGAAGGGGAAGAGAAGAAGAAAAAGAAAGAGAAGAAGAAGAAAGAGAAAGAGAAGAGAAAGAAGGAUAAAUUGGAGAGAGGGAAAAGGGGGGCUGUCACUAAUUCAUGGGGAAAGUAUGGGAUCAUCAGAGAAACUGAUAUGUGGAACAAACGACCCGAGUUUACUGCCUGGUUAGCAGAAGUGAAACAGGUGAACCUGGAAAGUCUACCUAAUUGGGAAGAGAAGCAAAUGUUCAAAGAGUAAGUACGCAUAACUGCUCAACUGCUUGCAGUUUUAUCAGCAGACACAAUUCAUGGAAUAUAGUUUACUUGUAAACCUCAAUUCAACUUCCCAAAAAUGAACUUUAUGAUCUUUGUUGAUUAUUUGAUAAUGUCUUAAUGGUCAUAUAAUUGUACAGAUUCAUGGAGGACCACAACACAGCCACCUUUCCAUCUAAAAAGUAACGUUCUUAUGCCAUUUGGUUAUGUUAAUUCAUUCUGUUUUAAGAAGUUGAACUGCUUACUAUUUUAACAUCCAUUUUUUUUUCUUGGUUGUCCUUGGCCUGCUGCUGUUUCGAAAGUUUUUAUUAGAACCAAAACAAAUUGUUCAUGUUGAUCUAUUCUUGUUGUAAGAUAUUGUCCGUGUUGGUCUAUUCUUGUUGUAAGAUCAAGGAUGGACUGUCCCCUGAUUGAUGAUCUAUUAUGAUUCCCCAUUAAAAUAUUGUGAUUACCCCUUGCAGAAGCACACACUUGUUUCCAUUCACUUGGCAAGACAAUGAACAAAAAAUGCAGAUUGCAGAGAGAUAAUUGGGGAAUUAAUUCUUGUCAAUUGUCAUAUAUUGCUAAUAAAAGUAACUACUACAAUGGUUUUUGUUCAGGUAUUAUAACCUUGAUGCUUAUCACAAGCAUAAAAUGGAGAAGGAAAUGAAAAAGGGUUUCAAGAAGGUCCUGCAAAAAGAGCGUACUGUUUUCAACGAUGAAGAACAGCGUCGGUAUGUUACAGAGAAUCUUAAUUACUAUAUCAUAUUGAGAAGUUGAAAUGUGAUUGGGCAAAAUGAUUUCAUAUCGGGACUGUUCAGCUGGUUGGACCUGGAAAACUGGGAACUGAAUGACUUCUUUUAGAAUUUCAUCCAAGAGAAAGCUUGAUCAAAUCAUAAACUCCUGGCUAAUGUGAAAUUUCAGUUAAAAAAAUGUGUUAUGAAUAACCUUUGAAGUCUCAUUACCAUUUAUUGACUUAAAACUGUUGGUACUUUUUAAAUUUGGGGUUUAUUGAGUAAUUUCAUUGAUCUCUCAGGCUAGAAUUGCUGCAAGAACGGGAAAGGCACAAGGAACAACAGGUGGAAGCUUUAAAGCUCUCUAUGCAGAGUGGAAUGGCACAAGCAAUGAAAGAGCAAGUCCAGCUCAAGGAGGAGAUGGCUUACCAGUACAAGCUUGGCAACUUCGAGGCUGCAGCUGCUAUUCAAAGAAGGCUGGACCCAAAUAUUGCUAUGUGAUGUUACUGAUUUUGUCGCGAGAUUUAAACUAUUCACAGUUCACACGCUCCAUAUUAUAGGAGUUAUGUUCAGAUCUCUUGCUGGCAAGAAGGUUCCGAAGGUAUCUCUAAUGAGGGUGAGCUUCCCGAGAUCACUGACUCCAUUCUACGUGAAAGGAAAGGAUCCACAUGGUGUUCUAGGUUCAUGCCUUUUUUUUUUUUUUUAACUUCAUUUAUGGAUGUAAGUUUUGCAGAUAUUUAGGGAAGGCGUGCUUUUAUGCGCCUGUACUGUACUAAUAUAAAAUAGGGUUGUCAAUUACUUCUGCGUGCAUCAAUGUUACCACGAUAUUUUAGGGUACAAUGGGGAGAAUUGAUUAAAUUUCAUAUUCAGGUCUAUGUUCUCAAAUUUUUUUUAAUUAUAUUUUUUACUGUCA